CAUUGCCUGAGUUUGUGUGUGAAAUGACAUGAAUUUGGGGCGGCAGCCUAGUGGUUAGAGCGUUGGACUAGUAACCGAAAGGUUGCAAGUUCAAAUCCCGAGCUGACAAGGUACAAAUCUGUCGUUCUGCCUCUGCCUGAACAGGCAGUUAACCCACUGUUCCUAGGUCGUCAUUGAAAAUAAACAUUUAUUCUUAACUGACUUGCCUAGUUAAAUAAAGGUAAAAUAAAAUAUAUAUAUUUUUUUGUCUCAAUCAAGUAACCGUGGUUAAACAGCUGUCGGUAUCAAAUAGCGGCAGGUAGCCUAGUGGUUCAGAGUGUAGAGGAGGCAGGUAGCCUAGUGGUUCAGAGUGUAGAGGAGGCAGGUAGCCUAGUGGUUCAGAGUGUAGAGGAGGCAGGUAGCCUAGUGGUUCAGAGUGUAGAGGAGGCAGGUAGCCUAGUGGUUCAGAGUGUAGAGGAGGCAGGUAGCCUAGUGGUUCAGAGUGUAGAGGAGGCAGGUAGCCUAGUGGUUCAGAGUGUAGAGGAGGCAGGUAGCCUAGUGGUUCAGAGUGUAGAGGAGGCAGGUAGCCUAGUGGUUCAGAGUGUAGAGGAGGCAGGUAGCCUAGUGGUUCAGAGUGUAGAGGAGGCAGGUAGCCUAGUGGUUCAGAGUGUAGAGGAGGCAGGUAGCCUAGUGGUUCAGAGUGUAGAGGAGGCAGGUAGCCUAGUGGUUCAGAGUGUAGAGGAGGCAGGUAGCCUAGUGGUUCAGAGUGUUGGGCCAGUAACCGAAAUCCCUGAGUUGACCAGAUGAAAAAUCUCUGUCCUUGAACAAGGCAACCCUAAUUGCUCUGGAUAAGAAUGACUAUGAUGGAAUAGAAUAAUGACCACGGGCUACAGCUUCAUCAUAUUUCACUCUUUUACUCUUC